UACAAAAACCCACAACACAACGGAAGUUAUCCCACAACGGAAAUUUAUGGCAGAGGAAAGGGCUCUGGUUGUGGACUUUAGUUGCCAUGGUAACGCGCGCAUAGAAGAAGACUGUGGGAAGUUGCACUCGUCUGCUUGGCAUGCUGGAUUCACCGAGUCUGAUUUGUUCUGGUUACUUGUUCGACAAGUAUGCAUAGGCCUGUCAUGGGAGGUGGAAAAAUGGCCAGCAGGAAGGUGUGCAGCAGCCACUGGAAUGACCUCUUCCACCUCCUCCACUAACAGCUCCUCAUCAGCCGGCAGUGGGAUGUGAUCCUGAAGGGCCAUGUUGUGCAGAAGCGCCGUCACCAAAACUACACUGCACGCCUUUGCAGGAUGGAGCUUCAGGACCACCAGCGCACCAGUGGAUUUGCUCACACACCUAAAGCGUCGUUUCCACAUGCCCAGGGCCCUCUCCACAACAACA